AAGAGGUGUGGAGCAUUUUAUGACUUGCUACAUAGAUAUUGGGCACAGCCAUCCUCGUGAUUUCUGGAUCCUCUUGUGCCUCCCCAGCCUGUCAAGCUCUGCUGAUGUGGCUUGUUCUGCACUGGACUCACCCGGAGGCUGAAUGAAUGGACUAACAAAUCCAAAGGGCGGAACUGGGAGCUGAUCUGGAGGUCGGGAUUUCCACCUCUGAUCAAAG